rnacentral:rRNA from 1 species
UUAAUUAUUUAAAUUAAUAUUUAGUUGUUAUUAAAUUUUUAAUUAAUUUUUAAAAUAUUAAUAAAAAUAAUUUUAUUUUGAUUAAGUUUGAAUAAAAAAAAUUAGGAUUGAUUAAUAGUUUAUUAAGUAAAGAAAUUGAAAUUUUAAAAAAUUUAAUGAAAUAUUUAAUUUUUAAAAAGAAAAUUUAAUUUGUUGUAUCUUGGGUAUCAGAGUUUAAAAAUUAAUUAUUUUAAUAAAAAAUUUUUCGAAAAAAAUUAAGAGAUAAAAAUUAUUUUAUUUAAAUAUUAUAAAAUUUUUUAUAAAUAGUUUUUUGAAAUGAAAAGUUAUUCGGUUUUUUUUAUAUCUAAUUUUGAAAGAAAUAAAUUUAAUUUAGAUUUUUUGUUAUAAUUUUAAAAUUUAAAUUUUAAAUUAUUAAGUAAAUUUUAAUAUAUUUAGGGAUAAGCUUGGAUAUAAAUUUUUAUAUUAUAGAGUGAAUUUAAAUUUAAUAGAUAAAUAAAUUUAAAAUUUUUUAUUUAGUAAAUAUAAUUUAUUUAAAAUUUUUAAUAAAUAAUUUAUUGAUAAAAUUAAAUUAUUUAAAUUUUUAAUUAAAAAUUUAUUUUAAAAUUUUCUUAAAUUUAUAUAAGAUAAGAUUUAAUGUUAAAAUUAGUAUAAAAUUUUAAAUUUAAAAAAUGAUUUAAUUAAAUUUUAUUAAAGAAUUCGGCAAAAUUUAAAUUAUAAUAUUUUUAUUUAUUUCACCUGUUUAACAAAAACAUGUCUUUUAGUUAAAAAUUUAAAGUCUAAUCUGCCCAUUGAAUUUUAAUUUAAAAGGCUGCAGUAUUUUAACUGUACAAAGGUAGCAUAAUAAAUUGUUUCUUAAUUAGGAACUAGAAUGAAUGAUUGAAUGAAAAUAAAACUGUUUAAAUAAAAAAUUUUAAAAUUUUUUAUUUUUGUUAAAAAACAAAAAUUUAAAUAAAAGACGAGAAGACCCUUUAGAUUUUAAUUUUUGUUUAAUUUAAUCAAAUUUAAAGGUUAAUUUAAAUUUAAAUUUGGUUGGGGUGAUUAAUAAAUUUAAUUAACUUUAUUUUAAAAAAAAUUUUAAUUUUAGAUUUUUAAGAUUUAGUUGUAUGGAUUUUAGAAUAAAUUACCUAAGGGAUAACAGCGUUAUUUUAAUUUUGAGAUCUUAUUAAAAUUAAAUUUUGCGACCUCGAUGUUGGAUUAAGAGUAAUUAGAAAAGUAGAAAGUUUUAGUUAUGAGUCUGUUCGACUUUUAAAAUCUUACAUGAUCUGAGUUCAAACCGGUGUGAGCCAGGUUGGUUUCUAUCUUUAUUUUAAUGUAUAAAAUUUUAGUACGAAAGGAUUAAAUUUUGAAAAUAAAAAAUUUUUAAUGUUUAAUGAA